rnacentral:rRNA from 1 species
UACAGAGGCCACGAGCGUUAGGCGGAAUCACUGGGCUUAAAGCGUGUGUAGGUGGAUGAGUAAGUACCUUGUGAAAUCCCACGGCUCAACCGUGGAACUGCUUGGUAUACUGCUUGUCUUGAGGCACUCAGGGCGAGCGGAACAGAUGGUGGAGCGGUGAAAUGCGUAGAUAUCAUCUGGAACGCCAAUGGUGAAGACAGCUCGCUGGGGUGUACUGACACUGAGACACGAAAGCCAGGGAGCAAACGGG